UGGGGAAUAUUGCACAAUGGGCGCAAGCCUGAUGCAGCAAGGCGGCGUGAACGAUGAAGGUCUUCGGAUCGUAAAGUUCUGUUGCAGGGGAAGAUAAUGACGGUACCCUGUGAGGAAGCCCCGGCUAACUACGUGCCAGCAGCCGCGGUAAUAAGUAGGGGGCUAGCGUUAUCCGGAUUUACUGGGCGUAAAGGGUGCGUAGGUGGUCUUUCAAGUCGGUGGUUAAAGGCUACGGCUCAACCGUAGUUAGCCUCCGAAACUGGAAGACUUGAGUGCAGGGGAGGAAAGUGGAAUUCCCAGUGUAGCGGUGAAAUGCGUGGAUAUUGGGAGGAACACCAGUAGCGAAGGCGGCUUUCUGGACUGCAACUGACACUGAGGCACGAAAGCGUGGGUAGCAAACAGG
rnacentral:rRNA from 1 species